UAUUUUAGAUUCAACUUUUAAAUUUAAAUUCAAAAUUUCAAUUUAAAUUUAAAUUUAUAUUUGAAUUUUUUUAAAUUUUAAAUUUUAAGCUUUAAAUUUUCAAAUUUUAAGCUUUAAAUUUUCAAAUUUUAAAAUUACAAAUUUAAAAUUCUCAAUUUAGAUAUUAAAUUUAAAUUUUUAAUUUUCAAAUCUCAAAUUUUAACUCUCAAAAUUUUAAAUUUUAAAUUUUAAGUUUAAUAUAAUAUUAAAAAAUUAAAAAUUUAAAAAUUAAAAUCAAAAAUUAAAAUUUUAGAAUUUAAAAUUUAAAAUUUAAAAUUUUAGAUUAUAAGUCCUAAGUUUUCAAAUUAUAAGUUUUACAUUUUUAAAAUUCAAAUUCUAAAUUUUCAAACUUUAAUUUAAAAAUUUUAAAGUUAAGUAGAAAAUAAGUAUAUUAAUAAUUAUAUAUUGAUUAAUGACGGCAUUUAGCAAUAAGUGCUGCUAUUUUGUUGCAUUUAGCAUCAUUUUUUAUAAAAUGUUGGAAACAUCAGCAGCAUUCACUAAUUUAUACUGCUAAUUUAUCUUAUUUUGCAGCAUUAAUAAUAAAUUGCUGUUAAAUUAUUAAGAAUUCUUUUUAUUUCCCCAAAUUCGAAUUCCUCGGAAUUGUUUUGCCAGUAGAAUUUUGAAAGAGAGACAAUUUAGCGGCAAUUAUCAAGUAAUGCCGUUAAAUAUAUUAAUUAGCAUCAUUUAGAUAAAUGCUGUGAAGUAAAUGCCGCUAAAUCAUCAUUUUGUAGUAGUGAUUAGUAGGGCUGGCAAACGAGCGAGCCGUCUCGCGUUCGACUCGUGUUCAGCUCGAUAUUCGGCUCGCUCGAGCUCGACUCGAAAUUAAAUGAGCCGAGCUU
rnacentral:lncRNA from 1 species